GACGAACGCUGGCGGCGUGCUUAACACAUGCAAGUCGAACGGAAAGGCCCUGCUUUUGUGGGGUGCUCGAGUGGCGAACGGGUGAGUAACACGUGAGUAACCUGCCCUUGACUUUGGGAUAACUUCAGGAAACUGGGGCUAAUAUCGGAUAGGAGCUCCUGCUGCAUGGUGGGGGUUGGAAAGUUUCGGCGGUUGGGGAUGGACUCGCGGCUUAUCAGCUUGUUGGUGGGGUAGUGGCUUACCAAGGCUUUGACGGGUAGCCGGCCUGAGAGGGUGACCGGCCACAAUGGGACUGAGAUACGGCCCAGACUCCUACGGGAGGCAACAGUGGAGAGUAUUGCACAAUGGGCGGAAGCCUGAUGCAACAACGCCGCGUGCGGGAUGACGUCCUUCUGGUUGUAAACCGCUGUCGCCUAAGACGAAGCGUGAGUGACGGUAAUGGAUAAAGAAGCACCGGCUAACUACGUG
rnacentral:rRNA from 1 species